rnacentral:rRNA from 1 species
AACGAACGCUGGCGGCAUGCCUAACACAUGCAAGUCGAACGAGACCUUCGGGUCUAGUGGCGCACGGGUGCGUAACGCGUGGGAACCUGCCCUUAGGUUCGGAAUAACUCCCCGAAAGGGGUGCUAAUACCGGAUAAUGUCUUCGGACCAAAGAUUUAUCGCCUUUGGAUGGGCCCGCGUUGGAUUAGCUAGUUGGUAGGGUAAAAGCCUACCAAGGCGACGAUCCAUAGCUGGUCUGAGAGGAUGAUCAGCCACACUGGGACUGAGACACGGCCCAGACUCCUACGGGAGGCAGCAGUGGGGAAUAUUGUACACUGAGCGAAAGCCUGAUCCAGCAAUGCCGCGUGAGUGAUGAAGGCCUUAGUGUUGUAAAGCUCUUUUACCCGGGAUGAUAAUGACAGUACCGGGAGAAUAAGCUCCGGCUAACUCCGUG